rnacentral:lncRNA from 1 species
AUCAGAGGAGCUCGAUUUUUGCUUGUGGUCCUGGCUGGCGGUUUCUGUACCAAACUUCUUCUUGGUUUAUCCUUGCUGCAGCUGUGGGGUUGGAAACCUGCGCCCGUAUUCCGUGAGUGCCAGGCAGGCGUAGUUUUGUCUAGCACAUAUAUCUUUAGACGUCAUUUAAGGCCGGGAAGAGGGGGAGCGGUCUCCCCAAGGUCUCAAACCCAGUACGGGAUGGAUCUGAAUUUGGAGCCCAGGCCCUCAAACCAAAAAUAGUCUCCGCAGGUGCCCUAAUACCUUUUUCAUCUUAAUGGGGUCUGCGAAAUUACAAACUCUUCUGGAGGACAGGAGCCCCACUCUUAGGCCAUACCUUAGGGCAGAGCGCGCUGCUGGCCUUAUUCUCUGGAUCUUUUCAGAAUCUUGGUUGAGAACAGGCCUAUGCCCCAAUUUGGGAGCAAAAGAGGAAUCCUCAUCAUUCAUGAGAGGGCUUUAACGUCUGGGCACCCACUCACUUCUUGUCUUCUUAAAAUAUGCUUUUUGACACUUCGUCCUUCUCUAGGAAAUGACCAUGUGGUCCUAGAGCCAAGGAAAGGUGAGAAUUUCUUCAAAUUCCUUCUUACCUCUUGGAGAAUGAAUCCAUUCCCAUUUUUUUUUCUGAGGCUGCAUUGUUUGUUGUGAAUUCCGUUCCAUCUUAGCUCACAAGUGCCCGGUCUUACUGGGCCCAUUCUUGGACAUCCUCUGUCCCACCCAUGACUCUUCAUUCCCAACAAGUUAGCUGGGGGUUCAAAGUAACAUGCAAGAACACACUUUUCUUUAAGUAUCUAGUGAUGCUUGCUGUACAGGAAAAGUAUGAACGACCGAGAUCUUAUGGGCCUGGAGAUGAGAGACUGGGUGAGACUUCCAGAUGAGCGACUGUCUGAGCUGCCUGGAAGAAGAGGUAGGCAAGAAGAGUUGGAGCAUAACACGUUAGUGAGAAGAGUAGGCUAUGAUCUAAUCUCAUGGUCUGAACUACCGACAAGACUGUAACCACAGUGAAAAAGGUUUUCAUUUACAAAUGAUCUUGCAUCAGGCUGAUUUUCCAUGCUUAUGGGCAAGGAUAUUGUCUAGAUAUCGAUUUGUAGCAUACAGGUGUUUUGCCAUAAUAAUCAGGGCUUUCCAUCCUGAAAUCCAGAGUCCCUCCUGUAUAAAACACUUCUUUUUCUCAUAAUACAUCCACUCCACCUACCCCCAAUCUCAUUUACCUUACAUGCUUUUUCUCCUCUAAAUUCUGUCCAUCCUUCAAGAUGAAAUCCUUUUCUUUUCAUGAAGCUUUUCCAGAUCACUCUAUCUUGAAGGGACUUACUGAGAUUAUUCUGACCCUGGCUAUACCUGGAAGCUUUCAUUUAUUUAUUUUUGCAGUACUGGGGAUUGAAUCCAGGACCUUAUGCAUUACGGGCAAGCACUUUACCCCUGGCUGUACCCCCAGCCCUUUUUAUUUUUUUAGAGAGAGAGGGAGAGAAUUUUUUAAUAUUUAUUUUUUAGUUUUCAGUGGACAUAACAUUUUUAUUUGUAUGUGGUGCUGAGGAUCGAACCCAGCGCCGCGCGCAUGCCAGGCAAGCACGCUACCGCUUGAGCCACAUCCCCAGCCCCCUUUUUAUUUUAUUUUGAGACAGAGUCUUGCUAAAUUGCCCAGGGUAGCCUCAAACUUGCGAUCCUUCUCCCUCAUCCUCCCUAGUAACUGGGAUGAGGUGUGUGC